GUCCUCCUCAAAGCAGUGGGUCUGCAGUCGGGGACUUUCCCCUUGGGUCAGGACGUCACCCUCGGUAACUCCUCGAGGUUGAGAGCCCUCAUCUUUUAGGUUAACGUCAAAUGUCAGGCUUCUGAUCUACCAAAAUCUACUGGCAGAAGGAAACUCAUUGUGCUAUUACAGGGCAUCAACCAUCUCUUUAUAGUGUUAUAGGAAGAAGAAUUCUGAGAAGAUAAGAGAAGAAGACUUUUAAGAGAAAAUUGAGAUGGAGUCAUGGAAUAAGAGAGACUACAAUGCUGUGUGUGUGCCAGCUGGCAGGGCUUGGUCUUCAAAGAACACACAACAUAGCUGAAAGCCACCUCCAUAACCACCCCGCUUCCCAAAACAUGACCAACCAAAGCCUCUUUCCAGUCUUUCAUCAUGUUCAGACUGAGUUACAAACCAGUGUGUCUCAUGACUUUGUGCCAGAGUUGAUAUUUCAUUACUGAUUCAAAGGAAGGGAGGAGCAAAUGACUUGUGGUCUGAACUUCUUCAGAAAUACACCUAUCUUUAGCGUUUGCCUUUCUCAGACUUCGCAGGCCCAUGAGUGAAUUAUUUCUGCCAUAGUAAAAAUACAGGAGUCUACCUCUUGACAAAUAUGAUCUUGCAUUUCUUUUUUCCUUAAAAUCAUGACAAUAAAUGUUUAGGUUGAAGGAAACACUUAUUUGAAAAAUAAUAAUAAAAACACCCACAAUUUUGCCUUUGUGUACAGGUAUGAUGAUGCAAUCUUUAAUUACAUGACUGACCACUUUUGUGUUUUGGUUUUUUUUAACAUUAGACCCUUUCCUCAAUCAAUACAUAGGGCGGAUGCUGCUUUCUUCAUGGGUCACAACUAAUCAAUGUCGUUUUUUACCCUCUUAAUUAAAUUAUUGCCUUAUUUACUGCACAACCUCUAAGCCCUGCACUGAAUAAAAAUUAUACAUUUCCUUAUGCACCUUACUAGGAGAGUCAUUAUCAUAUCACAGAGAUAAUAAAUUAUUUUCUUUUUCAUGUGCCUUGUGAAGGCAUGCAGACUUGGUAUCACCAUUUGCAGAUGGAAAAUUAAAGAAUGGAGACUAAAAGUCCUAAACUGUCAAAAGUCUGCAUUGAACUUCCAUUCCCAGGUGCUCCCAUCACUUAUCCCUCGAUCUGUCUGAUUCUUCAGGGUAUUCACAGUUUUAUAACUCAUAUUACCAGUCACUUCAUUUAUAGGAAUGAGGUUUUAGCAGUGUCCAUGUAUCACAGAAUAUGUAUAAAGAAGGGUAAGGCCACUGCCAUUACUGAGCGUCAGUGAAAAGUUUGAUAUUUUUCAUAUAUAUCUCUCUAUCUAUAUCUACAUAAAAGUUUGAUACAUUUUCUAGCUUUACUGGCAAACAGAAAUAGUACUGAAUUUUUUUCAAUGUGUUUGGUUGAUCAGACUCGUGGAUCAUUUCUUUAUGUGAUUCCCUGUUUCAUUUAC